rnacentral:rRNA from 1 species
UGCUAUACAUGCAAGUCGAGCGGACAGAUGGGAGCUUGCUCCCUGAUGUUAGCGGCGGACGGGUGAGUAACACGUGGGUAACCUGCCUGUAAGACUGGGAUAACUCCGGGAAACCGGGGCUAAUACCGGAUGCUUGUUUGAACCGCAUGGUUCAAACAUAAAAGGUGGCUUCGGCUACCACUUACAGAUGGACCCGCGGCGCAUUAGCUAGUUGGUGAGGUAACGGCUCACCAAGGCAACGAUGCGUAGCCGACCUGAGAGGGUGAUCGGCCACACUGGGACUGAGACACGGCCCAGACUCCUACGGGAGGCAGCAGUAGGGAAUCUUCCGCAAUGGACGAAAGUCUGACGGAGCAACGCCGCGUGAGUGAUGAAGGUUUUCGGAUCGUAAAGCUCUGUUGUUAGGGAAGAACAAGUACCGUUCGAAUAGGGCGGUACCUUGACGGUACCUAACCAGAAAGCCACGGCUAACUACGUGCCAGCAGCCGCGGUAAUACGUAGGUGGCAAGCGUUGUCCGGAAUUAUUGGGCGUAAAGGGCUCGCAGGCGGUUCCUUAAGUCUGAUGUGAAAGCCCCCGGCUCAACCGGGGAGGGUCAUUGGAAACUGGGGAACUUGAGUGCAGAAGAGGAGAGUGGAAUUCCACGUGUAGCGGUGAAAUGCGUAGAGAUGUGGAGGAACACCAGUGGCGAAGGCGACUCUCUGGUCUGUAACUGACGCUGAGGAGCGAAAGCGUGGGGAGCGAACAGGAUUAGAUACCCUGGUAGUCCACGCCGUACACGAUGAGUGCUAAGUGUUAGGGGGGUUUCCGCCCCUUAGUGCUGCAGCUAACGCAUUA